GCUUUACCUCAGUCUCAUGCUUUCUCCUGAGCUCUCCUUGUGGUGGUGACUGCAGCCGAGCGUGUUGGAUCUGGUGUGGCAGAUCGGGAUGCACAUAAUACCGCUGGUACAGAUAAUGGGCUUUUCCCCUCCAUCUUUAUGUAAUGUGCGCCGCACUUAGUGACAGCUUGUUUUGCUCUGUGUAGUGACGCUGGGAGACGGGUCGUUCCGUUCAGCAUGCCGUGGGUGCGUCUGUGUCGGCAGGGUAAGCUAACGUUGUCUGCUUUGUGCAAUUUGAUGUGUUAACUGGUCCCUGAUUUUGUUGUGUGGUUGCUGCAGUAUAACUGGUGCCGUUUUUGUGGGAUCUCCUCCGCCUGCAUUGCUGCUACGCUGUGCCACGGCUAAUCGGGUUGCUCUAAUGAGGAAGUGAUCAAUGAAGCACAGGUUUGGUGAGCCUCGGCGGCAGUUUAAUCCCUGGUGGUGGUUCACAGAUCCCCUUUUUCGUUGGUGUGUCGUGUCACAGGUGUGAUUAUUUGGACCCCCUUUUCUUUUUUGAUUUUUUUGAUUAUUUCUGUUUGCCUGCCGCCAUGGUAAGCCAGACUGCUCCCUUUAUUGUUUAAGUUAAGUACUCCUGAUUUUCUAUUUUCAAACUGGUGGCUUGCCUCUUAUAUUAAAUUAACAUUAUAAUUAAACAAAGAAAUUGUUAUAGUUUUGGAAACACGUUUCUGCCCAAGUGAUUUCGAACCUGUGUGCCUUCAGUGUUUCAAUGGUCCUUGGUUGAUCAUGUUGAAUUGAAUGUGCCGGGGUGAAAUUCCCCUGGGUGGCGUUGUCGCAACAUCUAUCUGAAUCCUAGCCAUUCUUCCCCAUUCUCCAUUCCCCUCCAAGAGCUCCCUCGUCACGCCACCACAGGGAGAACAUGCAAACUCCAUGCAGAAAGAUCCCGGGAAAGCAGGGACGCGAUCCAGGGAUCUUCUUGCUGCAAGGCGAAAGUGCUAACCACUACGACACUGUACAGGCCUGUAUUAGAAUCCUCCAAGACAAAUGUUACAAAGUGGUUGCUGGAGUUAUUUCAGUUAUGCAUAUAUUUAUGGAAAAUACUGAAAUGUGUUGUGCACAUCCAGCCACAGAACUUUCAUCUAUAUUUUACAUGAAGAACCAUUUUCAAUACUGCCUGGCCUUGCUCUGUUUUUUUCUGCUUUUUUUUAAGCUCAGUGUUUUUUAUUAUCCCUUAAUGUUAUCUCUAUAAUAGGUUUUUAAUAAAAUGCUCUUAUAGUACACCAGAACUCAGGAAAUAGGACCAAUAAUUUUCAAAAUUUUCUGAAGGAGGACCCCCAGACCCCCAGUCACCAUCUCGCACAAACCAAAUCUCACUCUAAGGUCUGGUCACAAGUUGGCAGCCCUGAAUUACUGUGUUGCGAGCAAAAGUCAUGGCCACUGGGGCCUAAAACAUUUACACAGUAAAGUAUCUCCGAGAAAAUCUAAAUCUGUCCAAAAAGUGAAAAAGCAAUUUCUCAGUUUUUGUUAGCUGUUUGUGAAAUUAAGCAUUCGCUCACAUCCCGUGCACCUCCUGGGGGCUAAGCCUCCUCGUCCUCAAAACUUAAUGAUGCCCCUGUCUGGAGCUGAAUGUGGGAAAAAAAAAAACAAAACAAAAAAAAACAAGGAGAUGGUGGUGACCUUUUCCAACAGGCAGAUGACACUAGCUACAGCUGUCACCACCACAAUCCAUGGAAUGCCUGUUGAGCUUGUGGAGGAGUACAAAUAUCUGGGCACCAUCUUUGACAGCCAGCUGAAAUUCUCCAACACAGAGGAGAUUAUCAGGAAAUGUCACCAGAGGCAGUAUCUCCUAAGGAAGCUCAACUCUUUUGGAGUAUAUAAGAACAUUCUCCAGACAUUCUAUUACUCCUUCAUAGAGAGCACCAUCACCUUCUCCAUCACCUGCUGGUUCUAUUCCAUCAGGAUCCACAACAGAAAACUCCUGUAGAGGACUGUCACUGUAUGCUCAAACAUUAUAGGACUGCCUCUCAGGACUCUGUCUGCAGUGUAUGAACAGUUAACAUGUUGACUGGCAAACUGGAUCAUCUGUGACCCGUCACAUGCUCUCUUCUCUGCAUUUGAGUGACUUUCUUCUGGUCGACGACUUCGCUGCCCUGCAUGCAGGACACAGAGGAGAAGGGCUACCUUUGUACCCAGGUCGGUCUAACUCCUCAACCUAUGAACCAUAACACCCCCCCCACCCCCUCCACCACCACCACCACCACCACACACGGACUUCACCAUGGACCUCUGUGAACUAUGCCAUUUUGCACUCUGCAAUUUAUGUCUACCGUGAAAUAUUCUUGUAUCCAAGUCAUUGCCAUAUUGUACCUACUUCAUUCGUAUUUGCACUAUGUAUGACAUAUUUGGACUAGUAUGUUACUCUCUCUUUUUUAUUUUUAUUCUUAUAUUACUUGCUAGAUUUGUUUAUAUAUUUAUCCUUCUCUUAUUAUGUCAUUGCUGCACUAAAUGCUCUAUGUGCCUUUAUAAUUGCCCCCUGGAGACAAAUAAAGUUUCCUGAAUCUGAA